CAUCUCUCAUUCUCUUUUGUCAUGUCUGAAAUUCGAAGAUUUCAGAGAUAUCAAAUCCCAAAUCAAACCAACCUUUUCAUUUUUCGCCCUAGGGCUUGAGGUUUACAUAUAAAAGUUGUUUUAGGGUUCAGUCUCUCUUAUGUAGUCUCCAAAAACUCUCAAGAGCAGUAACACAAAGAAGAAGAAAAGCCAUAAACUUCUAUUUUGUUUGGUUUUUGAUUUGAGAGACCGUGAAGAGGAUUGACGUUUUCCUCGUCAAAGAGUUUGGAAAUGGAAAUCAAAUGGGUUAGUUACUGCAAAGACUAUUUCAGUUCAAGCAGGUAUUGUUCUGGCUACUAUCAAGACCAACAAACAGAAGUACCCUUCAGCUUUGGUGUACAAAACUUUCAUGAAGCCAGGAAACAUACCUUGUCUUCUCGUCUCACUGAAAUUCAGGUGAAACUUUCUGAGAGAGUAUUAGAGCUUCUUGUGUUGCCUGGCGAUGAUGUUUUACUGCUGCUCCUUGAUAUUGG